rnacentral:rRNA from 1 species
UACGGAGGGAGCUAGCGUUGUUCGGAAUUACUGGGCGUAAAGCGUACGUAGGCGGUUAUUCAAGUCAGAGGGGAAAGCCCGGGGCUCAACCCCGGAACUGCCUUUGAAACUAGAUAGCUAGAGUCUUGGAGAGGUUAGUGGAAUUCCGAGUGUAGAGGUGAAAUUCGUAGAUAUUCGGAAGAACACCAGUGGCGAAGGCGACUAACUGGACAAGUACUGACGCUGAGGUACGAAAGCGUGGGGAGCAAACAGG